rnacentral:rRNA from 1 species
UACGUAGGGUGCAAGCGUUAUCCGGAAUUAUUUGGGCGUAAAGAGCUCGUAGGCGGUUUGUCGCGUCUGCUGUGAAAAACUGGGGGCUCAACCCCCAGCCUGCAGUGGGUACGGGCAGACUAGAGUGCGGUAGGGGAGAUUGGAAUUCCUGGUGUAGCGGUGGAAUGCGCAGAUAUCAGGAGGAACACCGAUGGCGAAGGCAGAUCUCUGGGCCGUAACUGACGCUGAGGAGCGAAAGCAUGGGGAGCGAACAGG